rnacentral:rRNA from 1 species
GAGCGGCAAAAGCUCAAAUUUGAAAUCUGGCGUCUUUGGCGUCCGAGGAGAAAUUUGAAGAAGGUAUCUUUGGGCCCGGCUCUUGUCUAUGUUCCUUGGAACAGGACGUCACAGAGGGUGAGAAUCCCGUGCGAUGAGAUGACCCGGGUCUGUGUAAAGUUCCUUCGACGAGUCGAGUUGUUUGGGAAUGCAGCUCUAAGUGGGUGGUAAAUUCCAUCUAAAGCUAAAUAUUGGCGAGAGACCGAUAGCGAACAAGUACAGUGAUGGAAAGAUGAAAAGAACUUUGAAAAGAGAGUGAAAAAGUACGUGAAAUUGUUGAAAGGGAAGGGCUUGAGAUCAGACUUGGUAUUUUGCAUGCUGCUCUCUCGGGGGCGGCCGCUGCGGUUUACCGGGCCAGCAUCGGUUUGGAGCGGCAGGAUAAUGGCGGAGGAAUGUGGCACGGCUUCUGCUGUGUGUUAUAGCCUCUGACGAUACUGCCAGCCUAGACCGAGGACUGCGGUUUUUACCUAGGAUGUUGGCAUAAUGAUCUUAAGUCGCCCGUCUUGAAC